rnacentral:rRNA from 1 species
CGUAGGGUGCGAGCGUUAAUCGGGAAUUACUGGGCGUAAAGUGUGCGCAGGCGGCUCCGCAAGUCGAGUGUGAAAUCCCCGAGCUUAACUUGGGAAUUGCGCUCGAAACUACGGAACAGGAGUGUGGCAGAGGAAGGUGGAAUUCCACGGUGUAGCGGUGAAAUGCGUAGAGAUGUGGAGGAACACCGAUGGCGAAGGCAGCCUUCUGGGCCAACACCUGACGCUCAUGCACGAAAGCGUGGGGAGCAAACAGGAUUAGAUACCCUGGUAGUCCACGCCCUAAACGAUGAUGACUAGUUGUUGGAGGAGUUAAAUCCUUUAGUAACGCAGCUAACGCGUGAAGUCAUCCGCCUGGGGAGUACGGUCGCAAGAUUA